GAUGAACGCUAGCGGCAGGCCUAACACAUGCAAGUCGAGGGAGAAGCCCUUUCGGGGGCAGAAACCGGCGCACGGGUGCGUAACGCGUAUGCAACCUACCUUUCACAGUGGGAUAGCCCGAAGAAAUUUGGAGUAAUACCCCAUAAUAUUAUUGGAUGGCAUCAUUUGAUAAUUAAAACUGCGGUGGUGAAAGAUGGGCAUGCGUCCUAUUAGCUAGUUGGUGUGGUAACGGCACCCCAAGGCUACGAUAGGUAGGGGUCCUGAGAGGGAGAUCCCCCACACUGGUACUGAGACAGGGACCAGACUCCUACGGAAGGCAGCAGUGAGGAAUAUUGGUCAAUGGUCGGAAGACUGAACCAGCCAUGCCGCGUGCAGGAAGAAUGCCUUAUGGGUUGUAAACUGCUUUUAUAUGAGAAGAAUAAGGCGUACGUGUACGUUGAUGACGGUACCAGAUGAAUAAGCAUCGGCUAACUCCGUG
rnacentral:rRNA from 1 species